AUUUCAUUGGAUUUAUUUGUAAUAAAAAUUUCUGAAUAAUCUUUAGAGAUGAGUUAAAUAAACUAAUAUUCCAAAUAUAUUUUCUUUAAUUUUGCAGCAUCAAUAUAAUUCCAGGGAUCUCCAAAUAGUCUUUGCAACCUGUCAAAAUAUUUCCUAAUGCCUAUCUAUGGGUUUUAUGUUGAGAUGUUUUUCAUUAUUCUUGCUUUAAAACAAUGAUAUGUCUAUAUUCAAAUAGUUCUUCUUUGGUAACCAUAUACCUCAAUCAAUCUCAAAAAGAUUUCACUAAAGAACUGUGGGAGCAGAAACACAGAAGAGAAACAUGAUUUAUCACUUGUUUAUAAGAAUAUAGGAUAUGGGGUUUGGGGUUUAAAAGACUGGUACAAAAAUGAAUAAUAUGGAUAUAGUGCAGAAAGAAAACAAGACUGACAGUUGGUGGGGGAAGGGGCAACUGGGAGUGGCAGUUGGGUUUGUGACUAGCACUUCCUUCCUGCUGGGAGUGGCAGUUGGGUCUUGUGAUUAGCACUAUUCAAUAAAUAUUACAAUAGGUAUUGAGUGAUAAUACAUGCAUAACCCAAUGGAGUUGAUUGUCAGCUCCUGGAGGGGGAAGAGAAGAUGGGAGGGAGAGAAAAUUAAACAUGUAACCUUAGAAAAAUACUUAAAAAUAGAUAAAUAAAUUUUACUAAAUAUUUUACCUAAUGUCAAGUCCUAGGCUAAGGUCUAGUGUUAUGGGGGAAAAGCAGUGCAUGCCCUCAAGAAGUUUACAUUCAAACACAUGGGGAUGGGAGAGACAACAAGUAUAAAAACUGGUCAAAAUAAAAUACAGAGAGGGCAGAUGGAAAGUAGUCUUAAAGGGAAAGCCAUUAGCAGCCAAGGUGACUGGGAAAGACCUCACUGAAGGUAAUGCUUGAGUCAAUUCAAGUGUUGAAAGAAGAGGAUUUAAAGAGAUGGAAGUAAAAAGGAACAAUAUUCCAGACACUAUCUCAGUGCAAAGGCACUGAUAUGAUAGAUGGGACACCAUCUUUCAGGAACACUACUGCCCACUCCCUGUCUCCUGUGUUGAGAGAGGAAAUGAAAACUUCACCAAGCAAGGGGGAGAAAAGAUGGUUCAUCUUCAUCCAAAGGAUACAACACAGCCUUCACUGAAGUUAACUAAAUGGAGAGUAUAAGAAGUUGUCAAAGGAAGAGAAGAGAAGGGAAUUUGGAUGUUUUGAUGUUGUAAAAAUAGGCUAGAAAGUUGGAGUUAAGAAAAGUAAGAUGCAAAAUAUUACAUGGAUGGAGGUGGGGAUUGAUGAGUUGAUUACCCCAUCACAUCAAACCUAUUAAUCAGGGAUUACCAUACAUAAAAAUUUACCCACAAGUGUGAAUUUUUUGGCUCAUGGCAAGGAACACAUAUAUCUGUAACAUCAAGAGAGCUCUCAAAAAUAUUUAAAAAUAAAACAAAUAGCAUUAUUAACA
rnacentral:lncRNA from 1 species